rnacentral:rRNA from 1 species
UACGUAGGGUGCAAGCGUUAAUCGGAAUUACUGGGCGUAAAGCGUGCGCAGGCGGUUCGCUAAGACCGAUGUGAAAUCCCCGGGCUUAACCUGGGAACUGCAUUGGUGACUGGCGGGCUAGAGUAUGGCAGAGGGGGGUAGAAUUCCAGGUGUAGCGGUGAAAUGCGUAGAGAUCUGGAGGAAUACCGGUGGCGAAGGCGGCCCCCUGGACAAAGACUGACGCUCAGGUGCGAAAGCGUGGGGAGCAAACAGG